CCCCUCUAGUUCCUCUUCAGCACAGUUCAACAGGCAGAGGCAGGCAAGGGAGGCAGCAAAGAUGAUUUCUGGUAAAGGUUCUUGGAAUGGAAAACUGGAAAUUACUUAAGAGAAUUCAUCCACUCUCUAACAAAUAGCUUGGGAGAGCAAAAAGAACAUGGGCUCUGAGUUCAAGUUCAGUUCCCAAAUUCUGCAAUCUUGGCAAAAAAAAAAAAAUGCUCUCUAAGACUCCUCAGUUUUUAAGUUUCCUCAUCUUAAAAUGAGAAUAUGUACCUCCCUCAUAGGGUUAAGCACGAGAAUGAAAACUCCAUUAGGGCAGGGACUUCAUUUUGGGCCAAUUGUCUCUACACUAAACAGCAUUAAACUCUAUUAAACAGUGCCUAGUACAGCAUAGGUUCUCAAUGUUUAUUGGCUGAAUUUGUGAGAAAUUGACUGAGGUAAUACAGAAUGCCUGCACGUGAACACUUAACUCUAUCAUCACCACCAUCAUCACUACUAUUACCAGUAUAUCACUAUUAUUGCAUUACUGGUGGUUGUAGAGCGGUCGCCUUAAGGGAAAGACCCAGAUUCAAAUCUCAAAUUCUCCAUUUACUGGCUAUGUGACUUGGAACAAAUUGCUUAACCCAUUAGGGCUCCUUUGGUUCUACAAACAUCUAUAUGGAAACCACCUACGCAACACUGAGUCUGGAGCCCAGGCGGCAUGCGAUACAUGACAGAGAUUCUUAUUUAGACAAAAAAUCGCCGAGUCCCCUUUUAUCUAGAUAACAUUCCUACAAUUUCCCACAUUAAUGUAGCUGAAUAGAUAACAUAACCGCAAACGGGAGGAAGGAAAGAAUUUCAGAGAGACCAAAACCGCUAAACGAGAAAAGAGGGAAUUAAACCGGUGCUUGACAGUUCCCACCAAAGGAUGCUAGUUUCCGCGACUGUCAACCAGUCCGACCAGCCAAGGCUCCAGCAGGACAGUCAGCUCCGUAAGGAACAAAAAGGAGGCAGAACCGUCGCUUAGACCCUCCCCCUAACGGUCUCUCGGCCGCUGGCCUCAGGGGCCGCCGGACUCCCGUUUCCGGCCCUCGCAGGACCACAGUUCCCAGCAUGCCUUUGAAGGGAAGUCUUUCCCUCUGGAUGACUACUAAUCCCGGCAUGCCAUUCGACACUCCAGUAAAUUGGAUGGAAUAGUGGAAUGACCCCAUUGCACGCAGGGAAUUGUAGUCCAUUUAGCUGCUGUCUCUUAGCGGGGCGGGGAAGAGCCGGGUCGUUCUCGUCAGCUGAGAAGAAUGAUUCAUCGAGGAGAGUCAGGAGAGAACAGUUGUGUCUGUGAAAGCCCACUUAAAAGCCUGGACUCUUCUCCAAGGGAGGGAGAGGCUGGAGAGCAAGCAGGUCCUUGGGCCUGACCCCGCCUCAAGCUGCUCCGCAGGCCUCUAUCGAGUCCUGGGCCUUGUCGAGGGCGGCCGCGAGGCGCCGGUUGCUGGGGGACCGGUGACGUCGCGGGGUGAAAGUUGAGGGGCGGUGACGUCGGGCCUGCCCGGGCGGAGGCUGGCGGGUUGGAGGCAGAAGGGAGGGAGGGAAGGAGGGAAGGAAGGAAGCUGGGAAGGAGCGAGCGAGCGAGCGGGGGCGCGAGGCGUUUACCUGGAGGCAGCGGCUUGGGCGCGCAGAGCGGCCGCGGCUCCCCCGCACCUGCGGCCAUGGAUGAGGAGCGCGCCCUCUACAUCGUCCGGGCCGGCGAGGCGGGGGCUAUCGAACGGGUCCUGAGGGAUUACAGCGAUAAGCAUAGGGCUACUUUCAAAUUUGAACCAACAGAUGAAGAUAAAAGAAAGAAACUCUGUGAAGGCAUAUUUAAAGUCCUCGUAAGGGACAUCCCAACAACAUGUCAAGUGUCCUGCCUGGAAGUUCUCCGCAUUCUCUCCAGAGACAAAAAGAUUUUAGUUCCUGUAACAACCAAGGAAAAUAUGCAGAUACUGCUGCGACUAGCCAAGCUAAAUGAGUCGGAUGAUUCUUUGGAGAAGGUGUCCGAGUUCCCAGUUAUUGUGGAGUCAUUAAAAUGUCUGUGUAACAUAGUGUUCAACAGUCAGAUGGCACAGCAGCUCAGCCUGGAACUUAACCUUGCUGCGAAGCUCUGUAACCUCCUAAGAAAGUGCAAGGACCGAAAGUUUAUCAAUGACAUUAAGUGCUUUGACUUGCGCUUGCUCUUCCUCCUGUCACUUUUGCACACCGACAUCAGGUCACAAUUGCGCUACGAGCUCCAGGGCCUACCGCUGCUAACCCAGAUCUUGGAAAGUGCCUUUAGCAUCAAGUGGACCGAUGAGUAUGAAUCGGCCGUAGACCAUAAUGGACCUCCUCUCUCACCUCAGGAGACGGACUGUGCCAUCGAGGCCCUCAAAGCUCUCUUCAAUGUGACAGUAGACAGUUGGAAGGUGCAUAAAGAGAGUGAUUCUCAUCAGUUCCGCGUCAUGGCAGCUGUGCUUCGCCAUUGUUUACUAAUCGUAGGUCCAACUGAAGACAAAACGGAAGAGCUGCACAGUAAUGCAGUCAACCUUUUAAGCAAUGUUCCGGUCUCUUGUUUGGAUGUUCUCAUUUGUCCAUUAACCCAUGAAGAAACAGCCCAAGAGGCAACGACUCUAGAUGAACUACCCAGUGAUAAAACAGCUGAGAAAGAAACAGUUUUGAAAAACAAUACCAUGGUAUACAAUGGUAUGAAUAUGGAAGCCAUUCAUGUUUUACUCAGUUUUAUGGAGAAGAGAAUAGACAAGGGAAGCAGCUAUAGAGAGGGUCUAACUCCAGUUCUCAGCUUAUUAACAGAAUGUUCCCGAGCCCAUCGAAACAUCAGAAAAUUUCUCAAAGAUCAGGUUUUACCACCUUUGAGGGAUGUGACAAAUCGACCUGAAGUUGGCUCAACUGUGAGAAAUAAGCUGGUGCGCCUCAUGACACAUGUUGACCUUGGAGUCAAGCAAAUUGCUGCUGAAUUCCUUUUUGUCCUUUGCAAAGAGAGAGUGGACAGCCUGCUGAAAUACACUGGCUAUGGGAACGCUGCAGGACUCUUGGCGGCCAGGGGCCUCUUGGCUGGAGGAAGAGGAGAUAAUUGGUACUCAGAGGACGAGGACACAGACACUGAAGAAUACAAAAAUGCAAAACCAAACAUUAAUCUUAUCACUGGUCAUUUAGAGGAACCAAUGCCAAACCCUAUAGAUGAAAUGACAGAAGAACAAAAAGAAUAUGAAGCCAUGAAACUUGUCAACAUGCUUGAUAAACUUUCCAGGAGAGCAGAUGUGAAGGACCUGCAGCAGGAUGGUGGUUAGCAACAGUGGCCCGUGCCAAAGCACUUACCAAAGUGAUGACUAAGACCCUGUCAUUAAUUCCAUGUGUCAAUACUGCCCUGUAGUACACAGAGCAGACAAGAAAGAAGAGCCCUUGAAAACAAGGGAAUGAUUUUUGAGUCGUUAUCAAGCUAAGUGGCAAGCGAGAAGCUGAAACUCGUAUAGUUGAACAUUCUUGGAGGCUUAUCUCUUCCCUGGCCAGAUGCCUGAUCAGAUGAGAAGCCCGCCAUGAUACUGUCAGAGUGCCUAGAAUGGGCUCUUUAUCCAGUAGACAUCACUGUACUUUUUGAUGAUAACGAGGGCAGUCUUAACUUGUGUUAAGGCCUGUGUGUAGCAUUGAAGAGAGGAGUUGCUUAAACCAAUGGGACUAAAACCUGAUGGGACAAUAACGCCUUUGGAGGAAGCACUCAACCAGUAUUCUGUCAUCGAAGAGACCAGCUCCGACACAGACUGAAAGCGUCACCUGCUCAACUCUCAGUAUUGCUUUUAUCAGCAUCUUUUCUCUGUAGCUCCAGGGGAAUCUUUUCUCUAAAACAUUUAUGCCCUUGCUUUGGCUAGAAACACAUUAACUGGUUUACUCAUUGAGAAAUCCAGCGUAUUUAAGAGGUGAUCCUGUGUUUUUGCGAUAUUGAGGCAUUCAUACAGAGCUGCAGUUAGACGGAGUUGCAGGGGCUAGAAGCAGAAAACAGAUAAUUCCGUGUCAUCAGGCUGCAACUGAAGGACUCCAUUCUAUAAAGCAGCCUCGGUUGAACCUGGCAGAUCUGUUUGCCAAGAUUCUUAGCAGAAGAUUUAGCCGUGUCCUUCUUCUCACUUGUGUGAGCUGCCCCUUCUGGAUCUCUCCAGCGGACGGAGGCACGUGAUCAGCAGAAUGAGCUGCUAACUAAGGGCUGAGACAAGUGACUUGUUAGAUGAGGACUGACUAAGUGGACGCCAAGCAGCUGCUCCAUAAACCUAGCCCCCCUCUUCACUUCAUUUCAAUUUUGUAUAAAUACAUGGAAAUGCACACACGAACCCACACACACAGCCCCAGACUUGCAAACUGAUUACACUCUAAAAGUUUGUAUGUCACUUCUCUAGAACUUCAGAAUACAUUUCUCCCUAUAGAGAGUUACAAACGAUGGUUUAGUUCCGAGGCAGCUACAAAUGCCUAUUUAUUCUCCCACGUACCUGAACACUAGUACCAUGGAACUGAACCCCCAGCUGUGUCAUUGCAUGGGGAGCAUGCAUUCUGAGGUCUCAGGGGGCCAGGAACACGUCCCCCAACCCAGCAGAGGGGACGGGGACUCCUGAGUACUGGGAGUUCUGUGGGCUCUGCUGGGGUGGGAGGUCAGCAGCACCCUUUUGUACAUAUAGGUCAUUCAUACGUCACACGUUUUAAAUUGGGGACUGUGUGUGCUGGUGUGUGUGCAUUCUACCUUUCUACCAGGUGAUCAGUUUAAUGGUAACCUUAUUUAUUUAAAAAAAAAAAAGAAACACAAACAGUUACUGUUAAACUGAUUAAGGCUGUUUAUUUUUACUUUUAAAAUUGGUCAUAUGAAGAAGUAGAAAAUGAAUCAUGCAAUAGACAGUGGGCCUAGUUAAAUCAGUGGCUAAAGUUGAAAAGGGGUUGGUUUCCUUUUAUGUAUGUAUGUAUGUACGUAUGUAUACAUACAUAUAUACACAUAGAUAAUGUGCUUAACCACUGCCUUUUAAAACUUUAAAUUAAAUAAAAUAUUGGGGUUGAUUCAAUUUAGCCAUCUGUGUGUGUUUCUUUAUAGAUACAUGGGAUAAACAAUACUAUUUCACAGUUCAUGCUUUCUUAAAGUGCUUUUACAUCCAUAUCUCACUUAUAAUAGUCUUUAUAAGGUAGGUAAAGUACAUGGAGUGUUAGUAAAAUGUCAUUUAUCCAGAAGUCACUUCUCUGGCAAAACAACAAAUCAGGAAUUGAGUUUUAAAAGGCCUUUGAGCCCCAAAAUGUCACAAAGUUUCUGGCAGUUUACUUAUAGGAGAGAGCCUCAAGAAUCUCACUUUUUGCCUCUUUACUAAAAUUUGCAUACAUUUCUAAUAUGUUUAGUUAUCUGGCUUUCCAGCCCACAGAAAAAUAACAAAGGCGGAAUCGGCUAGAUGGAAGGCAGGCCUACUGAAAGCAGCAAAAAAGGCCAACUGAAAACUGGAUAGGAAGGCAGGGACAGUAAAAAACUGGACGCAUCACAAAUCUGGGACAGUGUUUCCCGAAGGACAUGCUAGUUGACCCACAAAGUAUCUGUCCAACAGUAUGGCCCAUGGACUAAUUCUUCUAAGAAUGACCCUGAGUUGGUUUUUAAACAAAAUAAUAAAUCCCGGCUACUCUGUAAAGCUCGGAAGAAUACAUUUUUGGGUUGUCAUCUGAAAUACUUGGGAAUCGAAGUUCUGAAGGACUCAUGUUUUAACAACAGUAAACAAAAAGAAACUUGGCGAUUCAUAAUUUUAGAUUGAGAAAAGCUUAGGAAAAAAAAUUAAAUAUUUUUGUUACGUCAUUCUACAAAUGCAUUUUUAAAGUAUUUUUAUAAUUUCUAUAAUCAAAUAGCUUUGGCAUGAGAGUCAGCUUCCCUAAAUGAAGACAUAUUUAAUGAAAUAACCGUCUUAUCAGCUUUAUGCAGUCGGUGUUUGAACAGUCCUGUUUACAUAGCUGUGAUCUGCUUUCAUUGAGUUCUGUUUCAUUUUCAGUUUCCCUGCCCUGGGCACUAAGCUUUGUUUUUGAAGAAAGAAUUUGCAGGGGGACACGUUGAGAGUGACCUCAUCUUGCACAUGGAAAGAGAACUAUGGCAUGCUUGCUGCGUGCUGGGCUUUUCAUCCAUGUUAUCUCCUGUCACCUCAUCGCAUCUCAUGUUAGAGAGCACCCCUAGAAAGCCUAAGUAAGUUACCCGAUGUCACAGCAAGUAAGAGCCACCUCCAGCCAGCCUGACUCCAAGCCCCUCUCCCUCCCCUUGACCACCCUGCCCACCUGGGCCCACACUGUGCCUCCUCACGAUUCUGGAAUUCUGGGAGAGUGGUAAUUCUCAGGCCACUUUAAGCAAUAACUGUGUCAGCAGAACCCAGAACUUUGUAAGUUGGGAGGUGACCUAGGGUUGAAGUGUGAGCCAGGAAAUUCGCUUGGUUAGUACUGCAUUUCAAACAAGGAAGGACCCGGAGUCUGAGUCAGACCAGGCUCCCCAGACAUCUGCCUGGCAUGGGGAGGGGCGGUGAUGAGAAUAUACUGGCCAACCUCCCACCUGACCUUUGACACGGUGCAGAGGGGCGUGUCCUAGAAAUAAGGCACUUAAGCCGCUGCUCUACAGUAACAAUCAACAGACACUUGGGGCCCGCUUAUAAACCCAGUGGCCCUGGGAGGCUGGGGACAUCAGAUGCUCUUAUCCGUCCUUUAUAAAUGAGGACACGGGCCAUCAAGGCACAAGCACUAAACAUCCCCCAACCACCGCAUCAGUCUUCCCACCUCCCAGGACUAGGUGUCACCUGUAUUGACUUCCUCCCUCCACCCCAGAUUGUAAAAGUAAUAUAUGUGCAUUGUGGAAAAUUUGGAAAACGCAGAAAAUAAAAAUAAUUCACCCCAAAUCCCAAUGUUCUGAGAUAAUCACUGUUAAUGUCUUAGUGUAUUUCUGUCCUGUUUUUUCUAUGCAUAUAUAAUUUAUUUUACUACAAGAUCAGGAUCAUGCUGUAUUUAUAGAUUGUAUCCUGCUUUCUUCUCUAACAUAAUUGUGAGCAUUUUCCCAUGUCAAUAAAUAUUCUUCAAAAA